GCCAGCGUGGCGUAGUGGUUUGAGUGUAGGACUGCAACUCUGGAGACCAGGGUUCGAUUCUUUGCAAUGGGG